rnacentral:lncRNA from 1 species
UCUGCCUCCUAAGUGCUGGGAUUAAAGGCAUGCGCCACCACCCGGGCUGGUUCUGUGUGUUCUAAAGACAGCCUCCUGCACUGCCAUUGUGACAGCCUUCAUGAUAAUGGCUGUUACCAUCCGGAUUGCAGACUCCCUGGGUAGAAUGGCAUCUCUAUUCAGCGAGCGUCCCAGCUGCAGAGAAUCCCUGCCUAAGUCUUUCAUCCACUCCCCUGGGAUCUGUUGAGGGCCCAUCAGUACCAGGUGCGGCGGAAAAUCUGAGGCACCUUGGCUAGGAGCCCAUGGUGAAACCCGGCUUUGGCUCCUGUCUCCCCAUCCUCUAUGAGCAGUGGCAGCUACAGCUGCUGGAGUGGGAGCUGCAGCAGUG